rnacentral:lncRNA from 1 species
CCAAUCAAGAAUCCACAUCCUUGCCCUUCCAAAAACCUCAAAAUCCCUCCAAACUAAAACUCAUUCUUCCCAAAUUUAUCUUUCUUAUGGGUCAUUUUUAGUUUUCCCCACAUCUUCAAGCUCUAGCCAUCAAAUUCGUGGGAAAUCACUCAAAAAUCCUCUUCUUCUCUUUGAUUUUGGUUCAAUCCAACCCUUCUCCACU